AUUUCCUUGCAUUCAUUCUUAUAAAUGGAUUUAAAAUUCUAGAUUUGAAUAGUCUAAAUAUCUUGGUGGGUUGUUUCAAAAUUUUGCCUAGUCACUGGUUAUAAAUAUCAGUAGCCAUAUUAUAGCUCGCUAUAUCGGAUUUAAGCUCUAUGAAUUUUCCUUUUUCUGUAUUACUAGAUGAAUGACAAACACAAAUUGCAAUUAUGAUGGCCAGAUGAGAUUCUCUUUUUUUGUUUACACGUAAAACCAUAUUUAUGCUCAAAGGAGAUUAUGAUCAUGAAAAACUUUUGUUUGGAACAACUUGGAUAAUUAUGAUUAUUUGGCCACUUUUCGCUUAUUAUGCAGUCAUUUUAUCUAAUCUCUAAGAUUCAAUGGUUUUGUUUAGAUGCAGAUUGAAUUAACCCAAAACCUGUUUAGAUGAGGCCAUUUCACCAUUUGAAGAUAAUACUUAAAUGAUGUUAUUUUAGUUCCUUUAUUUUUGGUGAUCUCUUUUUACUACGUUAACUUGUGUGUUUUUCCAUGAAAAACACAAUUAACUAAUUUGAUU
rnacentral:misc_RNA from 1 species